GUCCACGCCCUAAACGGUGGAUGCUAGGUGUGGGGGUGUCGACCCCCUCCGUGCCGCAGCUAACGCUUUAAGCAUCCCGCCUGGGGAGUACGGCCGCAAGGCUAAAACUCAAAGGAAUUGACGGGGGCCCGCACAAGCGGCGGAGCGUGUGGUUUAAUUCGAUGCAACGCGAAGAACCUUACCAAGGCUUGACAUGCUAGUGGUACCGACCUGAAAGGGAAGGGACCCUUCGGGGAGCUAGCACAGGUGCUGCAUGGCUGUCGU
rnacentral:rRNA from 1 species